CAGCCGCCGCGGUAAAACGAAGGGGGCUAGCGUUGCUCGGAAUCACUGGGCGUAAAGGGUGCGUAGGCGGGUUUUUAAGUCAGAGGUGAAAUCCUGGAGCUCAACUCCAGAACUGCCUUUGAUACUGAAAGUCUUGAGUAUGGGAGAGGUGAGUGGAACUGCGAGUGUAGAGGUGAAAUUCGUAGAUAUUCGCAAGAACACCAGUGGCGAAGGCGGCUCACUGGCCCAUAACUGACGCUGAGGCACGAAAGCGUGGGGAGCAAACAGGAUUAGAUACCCGAGUAGUCCCUGUCUCUUAUAC
rnacentral:rRNA from 1 species